GCUGGCGGCGUGCCUAAUACAUGCAAGUCGAGCGAACGGACGAGAAGCUUGCUUCUCUGAUGUUAGCGGCGGACGGGUGAGUAACACGUGGAUAACCUACCUAUAAGACUGGGAUAACUUCGGGAAACCGGAGCUAAUACCGGAUAAUAUUUUGAACCGCAUGGUCCAAAAGUGAAAGACGGUCUUGCUGUCACUUAUAGAUGGAUCCGCGCUGCAUUAGCUAGUUGGUAAGGUAACGGCUUACCAAGGCAACGAUGCAUAGCCGACCUGAGAGGGUGAUCGGCCACACUGGAACUGAGACACGGUCCAGACUCCUACGGGAGGCAGCAGUAGGGAAUCUUCCGCAAUGGGCGAAAGCCUGACGGAGCAACGCCGCGUGAGUGAUGAAGGUCUUCGGAUCGUAAAACUCUGUUAUUAGGGAAGAACAUAUGUGUAAGUAACUGUGCACAUCUUGACGGUACCUAAUCAGAAAGCCACGGCUAACUACGUGCCAGCAGCCGCGGUAAUACGUAGGUGGCAAGCGUUAUCCGGAAUUAUUGGGCGUAAAGCGCGCGUAGGCGGUUUUUUAAGUCUGAUGUGAAAGCCCACGGCUCAACCGUGGAGGGUCAUUGGAAACUGGAAAACUUGAGUGCAGAAGAGGAAAGUGGAAUUCCAUGUGUAGCGGUGAAAUGCGCAGAGAUAUGGAGGAACACCAGUGGCGAAGGCGACUUUCUGGUCUGUAACUGACGCUGAUGUGCGAAAGC
rnacentral:rRNA from 1 species